AUCGCUUCUCGGCCUUUUGGCUAAGAUCAAGUGUAGUAUCUGUUCUUAUCAGUUUAAUAAAAUAAGGAUCCUUGGACUCCAACUGCCUUAAGCAGUUCUGCAUGAACUAUCACUGGAUAAAAAUUCCAAUCUGCCUGAUUCUGUUCAACAUGUUCUUGAUUACAUUAUAUUCAGAGUAACAGCAAGCUUCU